UACUCGCUUGGUGAAAUUUGGUAAACACGAUGGAUUUAAAAUUCAUUCUUUAUAAGUUAUUGGUUCGAGUCCGAUAGUGAGUAU
rnacentral:tRNA from 1 species